AUUGAACGCUGGCGGCAGGCCUAAUACAUGCAAGUCGAACGAGUGGCGGACGGGUGAGUAAUGUCUGGGAAACUGCCUGAUGGAGGGGGAUAACUACUGGAACCGGUAGCUACUACCGCAUACCAUCGGUUGUGCUCAGAUGGGAUUAGCUAGCAGGUGGGGAAACGGCUAACAUAGGCGACGAUCCCUAUCGGGUCUGAGAGGAUGACCGCACACACUGGAACUGAGACACGGUCAAGACUCCUAGGGGGGGAAGCAGGGGGGAAUAUUGCACAAUGGGCGAAAGCCUGAUGCAGCAAUGCCGGGUGGAUGAAGAAGGCUUUGGGGUUGUAAAGUACUUUCAGAGGGGAGGCGUUACCAGCAGAAGAAGCACCGGCAAACUCCGUGCCAGCAGCGGCGGUAAUA
rnacentral:rRNA from 1 species